rnacentral:SRP_RNA from 1 species
GGUAAGUCUUUAUCGACCAGCUCCCCGAGAAUCCCCCAGGUCGGGAACGAAGCAAGGGUAUUGGGUUGUAGCGGUGCGAAUAAAGUAACUUACCCCU